rnacentral:rRNA from 1 species
CCUACGGGUGGCAGCAGUGAGGAAUAUUGGUCAAUGGACGAGAGUCUGAACCAGCCAAGUAGCGUGAAGGAUGACUGCCCUAUGGGUUGUAAACCUCUUUUAUAAAGGAAUAAAGUGAGGCACGUGUGCCUUUUUGUAUGUAUUCUAUGAAUAAGGAUCGGCUAACUCCGUGCCAGCAGCCGCGGUAAUACGGAGGAUUCGAGCGUUAUCCGGAUUUAUUGGGGUUAAAGGGUGCGCAGAGGGGUUGUUAAGUCAGUUGUUAAAGUUGGGGGCUCAACCGUAACAUUGCCAUUGAAACUGGCAGCCUUGAGUACAGUUGAGGUAGGCGGAAUUCGUGGUGUAGCGGUGAAAUGCUUAGAUAUCACGCAGAACUCCGAUUGCGAAGGCAGCCUAC